GCGGGUAUCACCUGACACGGUAGGGAGAUUCCCAAGCUCUAGACGCGGGUUCGAUUCCCGUCACCCGCU
rnacentral:tRNA from 1 species